GAUGGACGCUGGCGGCGUGCCUAAUACAUGCAAGUCGAGCGAAUGGAUUGAGAGCUUGCUCUUAUGAAGUUAGCGGCGGACGGGUGAGUAACACGUGGGUAACCUGCCCAUAAGACUGGGAUAACUCCGGGAAACCGGGGCUAAUACCGGAUAACAUUUUGAACCGCAUGGUUCGAAAUUGAAAGGCGGCUUCGGCUGUCACUUAUGGAUGGACCCGCGUCGCAUUAGCUAGUUGGUGAGGUAACGGCUCACCAAGGCAACGAUGCGUAGCCGACCUGAGAGGGUGAUCGGCCACACUAGGACUGAGACACGGCCCAGACUCCUACGGGAGGCAGAAGUAGGGAAUCUUCCGCAAUGGACGAAAGUCUGACGGAGCAACGCCGCGUGAGUGAUGAAGGCUUUCGGGUCGUAAAACUCUGUUGUUAGGGAAGAACAAGUGCUAGUUGAAUAAGCUGGCACCUUGACGGUACCUAACCAGAGAGCCACGGCUAACUACGUGCCAGCAGCCGCCGCCG
rnacentral:rRNA from 1 species